UACGAGGGGGGCAAAUGUUGUUCGGAAUCACUGGGCGUAAAGGGCGCGUAGGCGGCUUGAUAAGGUUGCGGUGAAAGCCCGGGGCUCAACCCCGGGUCGGCCGUGGCAACUGUCGAGCUGGAGCACUGUAGAGGCAGGUGGAAUUCCGGGUGUAGCGGUGGAAUGCGUAGAGAUCCGGAAGAACACCGGUGGCGAAGGCGGCCUGCUGGGCAGUGGCUGACGCUGAGGCGCGACAGCGUGGGGAGCAAACAGG
rnacentral:rRNA from 1 species